GACGAACGCUGGCGGCGUGCUUAACACAUGCAAGUCGAGCGGUAAGGCCCUUUCGGGGGUACACGAGCGGCGAACGGGUGAGUAACACGNGGGUGACCUGCCCUCAGCUCUGGGAUAAGCCUGGGAAACCGGGUCUAAUACUGGAUAUGACUCCAUGACGCAUGUUGUGGGGUGGAAAGCCUUGUGCGGCUGAGGAUGGGCCCGCGGCCUAUCAGCUUGUUGGUGGGGUGAGGCCUACCAAGGCGACGACGGGUAGCCGGCCUGAGAGGGCGACCGGCCACACUGGGACUGAGACACGGCCCAGACUCCUACGGGAGGCAGCAGUGGGGAAUCUUGCGCAAUGGGCGAAAGCCUGACGCAGCGACGCCGCGUGAGGGAUGACGGCCU
rnacentral:rRNA from 1 species